CUGCUCAAUGAUUYUUUAAAUUGCUGUGGUAUUUUGACUAUACAAAGGURUUGAAAUAAGACUUUAAUUGAGUGCUAAGAGAAUGGAAUUUCAUAAAAUUUCUUUUUUAAUUUUAAAAAUUGAAAUUAAUUUUAUAUGUGAAGAAACAAUAAUAAAAAUUAAGGACAAGAAGACCCUAAGAAUUUUAAAAAUUUCAAUAAAAUGCUGCAUUUUAUUGAAAUUUUUUAAUUGGGGCGAUUAUUAAAUAUUAAAAACUUUAAUUUUUUAAAAAAGAACCAAUAAUAUUGGUUAUUUGAAAAAAUACUCUAGGGAUAACAGCGUAAUAAUUUUUGAUAGUUCUUAUAGACAAAAUAGUUUGCGACCUCGAUGUUGGAUUAGGAUUCUUUUUUAAUGAAGAAGUUAAAAAAAGAAGUUUGUUCAACUUUUAAAAUCCUGCUUGAUCUGAGUUCAGACCGG
rnacentral:rRNA from 1 species